rnacentral:rRNA from 1 species
UAAAGAGUGCGUAAUAGCUCACUGGUCAAGUGAUUCCGCGCCGACAAUGUAGCGGGGCUCAAGUACACCGCCGAAACCGUGGCAUUCAGUUUUGCUGGAUGGGUAGGGGAGCGUCGUUCACGAGCUGAAGCCAGCGGGUAACUUCUGGUGGAUUGUGGACGAGUGAGAAUGCAGGCAUGAGUAGCGAAAGACGGGUGAGAAACCCGUCCGCCGAAUGAUCAAGGGUUCCAGGGUCAAGCUAAUCUGCCCUGGGUAAGUCGGGACCUAAGGCGAGGCCGACAGGCGUAGUCGAUGGACAACGGGUUGAUAUUCCCGUACCAGUGAAGAACC